GGGCUGCGACUAUAGCUCAGUGGCAGAGCGCCUGCUUGGCAUGUGGGAGGGACUGGGUUCAAGUCUCAGCACCCCA
rnacentral:tRNA from 1 species